AAAGUCGUAAUAAGGUUUUUAUAGGUGAACCUACGGAAGGAUUAUUAUAAGAAACGAGGCUGCGUACGCUUAUCCGCCUAGCCUCGCUUCUUACUUUACUUACUAUACUAUUUAUUACUUCCUAGCGGCAGACUACCUACCGCUAGAGAUAUUAAUAUAACCUUAUAUAAGCAUUAAAGACCUAAAAUACGCGAAAUUGUAUAACUUUUAAUAAUAGAUCUCUUAGUUCUA
rnacentral:misc_RNA from 1 species